rfam:Myotis brandtii contig151178, whole genome shotgun sequence.
GGUGGUUCUCGGGUGACGUACCCCGGAAUUUGGCUCCCUCCUCUCUGAUUCCCGGUUCAUCACCCGAGAACCACA